AUCGAACGCUGGCGGCAGGCCUAACACAUGCAAGUCGAACGAGUGGCGGACGGGUGAGUAAUGUCUGGGAAACUGCCUGAUGGAGGGGGAUAACUACUGGAAACGGUAGCUACUACCGCAUACCAUCGGAUGUGCCCAGAUGGGUUGAGCUUGUCGGUGGGGUAUGGGUUCACAAAGGCGACGAUCCCUAGCUGGUCUGAGAGGAUGACCAGCAAAACGGGAACUGAGAAAGGGUCCAGAUCCCGACGGGAGGAAGCAGUGGGGAUUAUUGGAAAAUGGGCGAAGGCCUAAAGCAGCCAGGCCGGGGGUAUGAAGAGGGCCUUCGGGUUGUAAAGUAUUUUCAGCGGGGAGGCGUUACCAGCAGAAGAAGCACCGGCUAACUCCGUGCAAGCAGCCCCGGUAAUU
rnacentral:rRNA from 1 species